CACUCCUACGGGAGGCAGCAGUGAGGAAUAUUGGACAAUGGGUGGAAGCCUGAUCCAGCCAUCCCGCGUGCAGGAAGACGGCCCUAUGGGUUGUAAACUGCUUUUAUCUGGGGAUAAACCUACUUACGUGUAAGUAGCUGAAGGUACCAGAAGAAUAAGCACCGGCUAACUCCGUGCCAGCAGCCGCGGUAAUACGGAGGGUGCAAGCGUUAUCCGGAUUUAUUGGGUUUAAAGGGUCCGUAGGCGGACUGAUAAGUCAGUGGUGAAAUCCGACAGCUUAACUGUCGAACUGCCAUUGAUACUGUUAGUCUUGAGUAAGGUUGAAGUGGCUGGAAUAAGUAGUGUAGCGGUGAAAUGCAUAGAUAUUACUUAGAACACCAAUUGCGAAGGCAGGUCACUAAGUCUUAACUGACGCUGAUGGACGAAAGCGUGGGGAGCGAACAGGAUUAGAAACCCCAGUAGUCCC
rnacentral:rRNA from 1 species